rnacentral:tRNA from 1 species
GCCCUUAUAGCUCAGGGGUAGAGCGUUGCACUUGUAUAGCCUGCAUGGCAUGCAAAGGUCGGUGGUUCAAAUCCGCCUGGGGGCA